AUGAGCUCCCAAAAGGCCUCGUGCUAGAUGGAUGCGGGUGUGCACAUAUAAGGCACAUCACCUCCUCUCCGUUGGUUGAUAUGAGAUCUUACAAUCCACCCCCCUUAAGGGCCCGACGUCCCCGUCGGCACACUCGCACCACACGGCAGAGUAGCUCUGAUACCAAAUUGUCACAUCCCGGGAUCAGCUCCGUUGUAGCACGAUAUUGUCC
rnacentral:lncRNA from 1 species